UUCAAACACCGGUUCCCAUACGAUUACCGAAGUUAAGUAACACCGACGCUGGUCAGUGCCUAGAUGGGUGACCGCUUGGGAAUACCAAGUGUUGUAAG